GGAUUCCCCUAGUAACUGCGAGUGAAGCGGGAAAAGCUCAAAUUUAAAAUCUGGCGGUCUUUGGCUGUCCGAGUUGUAAUCUAGAGAAGUGUUAUCCGCGCUGGACCGUGUACAAGUCUCCUGGAAUGGAGCGUCAUAGAGGGUGAGAAUCCCGUCUUUGACACGGACUGCCAGGGCUUUGUGAUGCGCUCUCAAAGAGUCGAGUUGUUUGGGAAUGCAGCUCAAAAUGGGUGGUAAAUUCCAUCUAAAGCUAAAUAUUGGCGAGAGACCGAUAGCGAACAAGUACCGUGAGGGAAAGAUGAAAAGAACUUUGGAAAGAGAGUUAAACAGUACGUGAAAUUGCUGAAAGGGAAACGCUUGAAGUCAGUCGCGUUGUCCAGGGAUCAACCUUGCUUUUGCUUGGUGCACUUUCUGGUUGACGGGUCAGCAUCAAUUUUGACUAUUGGAAAAAGAUUAGGGGAAUGUGGCAUCUUCGGAUGUGUUAUAGCCCUUGGUUGCAUACAAUGGUUGGGAUUGAGGAACUCAGCACGCCGCAAGGCCGGGUUUUAACCACGUACGUGCUUAGGAUGCUGGCAUAAUGGCUUUAAUCGACCCGUCUUGAAACACGGACCAAGGAGUCUAACAUGCCUGCGAGUGUUUGGGUGGAAAACCCGAGCGCGUAAUGAAAGUGAAAGUUGAGAUCCCUGUCGUGGGGAGCAUCGACGCCCGGACCAGACCUUUUGUGACGGUUCCGCGGUAGAGCAUGUAUGUUGGGACCCGAAAGAUGGUGAACUAUGCCUGAAUAGGGUGAAGCCAGAGGAAACUCUGGUGGAGGCUCGUAGCGAUUCUGACGUGCAAAUCGAUCGUCAAAUUUGGGUAUAGGGGCGAAAGACUA
rnacentral:rRNA from 1 species